UACGUAGGGGGCAAGCGUUGUCCGGAUUUAUUGGGCGUAAAGAGCUCGUAGGUGGUUCGGUAAGUCAGGUGUGAAACCUCCAGGCUCAACCUGGAGACGCCACUUGAUACUGCUGUGACUGGAGUCCGGUAGGGGAGCGUGGAAUUCCUGGUGUAGCGGUGAAAUGCGCAGAUAUCAGGAGGAACACCAGCGGCGAAGGCGGCGCUCUGGGCCGGUACUGACGCUGAGGUGCGAAAGCGUGGGGAGCAAACAGG
rnacentral:rRNA from 1 species